CAGACCCAGAUGGCAGGCAGGCCGCCAGGGCCCUGGUCUCAUACUCCCCCUCCUAAGCCCAGCCCCUCUCUGCUUCACCAGCUCUGAAUCUGGGAGUCUCAGCCAGUGAUUAGGGCCCUAAUCAGGCAGGACUUCCUGCCAGCCACUGCCAAAGGUGGGGGCGGGGCAGGAGGGAAGCAAGGUCAACCCAAGGUGAAGUUUCACAGCCAGGGACCCAAGGAGCUCCACACCCCCACUGGUAGAUUCACUUUAGCAGCCUCCAGCACUACUCCAGCACUACUACACUGCUCCAAACCUUUGACUGCUAAGAAAGGAUACUGAGACCCAGAGAGGGAAGGGACUCAGCUGUGCGGGAGAGAGAACCAGGCCAGCCUGAGAUCUGUUGCACCAACCCUGGCACUGAACCUCAGCUCACUCCCUGAAGAGCGGUUAUGGGCCAGCUGAUUGCCUGGCCUCCUGGAGGAUGUGUUCAAGGAUAGGGAAGUCACAACUGUGAUGAAAGAGAACAGGACCAGUAAGAGGCAGCAGGCUCCGGAAUGAAUGACACCCACUGACAAGGAUUACCUUUGGCUUCUCUGCUUUGGAUGCUUGCUUGUUUGUUUGUUUGUUUUUUUGUUUGUUUGUUUGUUUUUGAGACAGGCUUUUGUGUAUCCCAAGCUAACCUUGAACUUACUUUAUAGUCAUAGAUGAUCUCGAACCACUGAUCUGUAGCCUCACGAGUGUUGGGAUUAAAGGUUUCUACCACCAUGCCCAAUUUACACAGUGCUGGGGAAAGAACCCAGAGUUGUGUGCAUGCCAUGCAAGCCUGCUCCAGCUGAUCUACAUCCUAUACAUCAAAGCACUUUAAAUCAAUGAAUUCAUUUAAACUCUA